GGGUUAUGAAACCCUAGGAGCCGAAACGAUGCUUCAUAUCUGUGAAGAAAAGAGAAAAGAACGCUCUUCCUCUCAAUCAACGCUCUCUGUUCUCACGACUUCUCUUUUCCAAUCUCUCUGCUAAAUUUUCUAUCUCACUCUCUCAGACUCUCGCAUCUGCUUUUCGAUUCAACCCUCUCGCGAUUUCUCUCUCAAUCGAUUCAAUUUCAUCGUUUCCAGAAAAAACAACUUACGAAAUCUACUUCUAAACAUGAGUAUUCAAGCAAGAUAUAUAGCAAGAUCUAAAUCCCAAAUGAACCCAGCCCCAAUUUCCGCUUCACUAUGAUUCGAUUACAGUUACAUGGAAAUCAGAUGUAGAGAUUGAUAAAUAGGAACAAGAACGAAAAAUAUCAGGUUUUUGGCAGCAUUGAGGUGCAGGUUUCUUGCAGGUUUGUGGAGAUGGAGCAGCUUUAUAUUUGUUGUUUUGUGAAGGGGUUUUCUAAACUGAUGAUGGUGAUGCGCAUGAGAGCAUGGAAUUCAAAUUUGAAGAGUCCUCUUUUUUAUUUUUUGGUGGUCACUUAGAAACUUGAGAUAUCCUUGUAUAGGAUCCCAAAAUAAUGUACUAUACUUUGUAAAAGUUAAAACUACAUAAAAUAAUGUAUUAUAUUUUUUUAUUUUUAUAACAAGCUUAUCUACUAUCUACUAUC